rnacentral:snRNA from 1 species
GUGCUCGCUUCAGCAGCACAUGUGCUAGGACUGGGAUGAUACAGGGAAGGCUAGCACAGCCUCUGUGUAAGGACGACACACGGGUUGGUGAAGCAUUCCAUAGUUUU